rnacentral:rRNA from 1 species
GCAUUAUACAGCGAAACUGCGAAUGGCUCAUUAUAUAAGUUAUCGUUUAUUUGAUAGUACCUUACUACUUGGAUAACCGUGGUAAUUCUAGAGCUAAUACAUGCUAAAAAUCCCGACUUCGGAAGGGAUGUAUUUAUUAGAUUAAAAACCAAUGCCCUUUGGGCUCCUUGGUGAUUCAUGAUAACUUCUCGAAUCGCAUGGCCUUGCGCCGGCGAUGGUUCAUUCAAAUUUCUUCCCUAUCAACUUUCGAUGUUUGGGUAGUGGCCAAACAUGGUUGCAACGGGUAACGGAGGGUUAGGGCUCGACCCCGGAGAAGGAGCCUGAGAAACGGCUACUACAUCCAAGGAAGGCAGCAGGCGCGCAAAUUACCCAAUCCCGACUCGGGGAGGUAGUGACAAUAAAUACUGAUACAGGGCUCUUUUGGGUCUUGUAAUUGGAAUGAGUACAAUUUAAAUCCCUUAACGAGGAACAAUUGGAGGGCAAGUCUGGUGCCAGCAGCCGCGGUAAUUCCAGCUCCAAUAGCGUAUAUUAAAGUUGUUGUGGUUAAAAAGCUCGUAGUUGAACCUUGGGCCUGGCUGGUCGGUCCGCCUCACCGCGUGUACUGAUCCGGCCGGGCCUUUCCCUCUGUGGAACCCUAUGCCCUUCACUGGGUGUAGCGGGGAAACAGGACUUUUACUUUGAAAAAAUUAGAGUGCUCCAGGCAGGCCUAUGCUCGAAUACAUUAGCAUGGAAUAAUAGAAUAGGACGUGCGGUUCUAUUUUGUUGGUUUCUAGGACCGCCGUAAUGAUUAAUAGGGACAGUCGGGGGCAUCAGUAUUCAAUUGUCAGAGGUGAAAUUCUUGGAUUUAUUGAAGACUAACUACUGCGAAAGCAUUUGCCAAGGAUGUUUUCAUUAAUCAGGAACGAAAGUUAGGGGAUCGAAGACGAUCAGAUACCGUCGUAGUCUUAACCAUAAACUAUGCCGACUAGGGAUCGGACGAUGUUAUUAUUUGACUCGUUCGGCACCUUACGAGAAAUCAAAGUGCU